UACGGGGGGAGCAAGCGUUGUUCGGAUUUACUGGGCGUAAAGGGCGCGUAGGCGGCCACCGCAAGUCGGUUGUGAAAUCUCUGGGCUUAACCCAGAAAGGUCAACCGAUACUGCGGGGCUAGAGUGCAGAAGGGGCAACUGGAAUUCUCGGUGUAGCGGUGAAAUGCGUAGAUAAUCGAGAGGAACACCUGCGGCGAAGGCGGGUUGCUGGGCUGAACACGUGACGCUGGAAGCGCGAAAGCUAGGGGAGCGAAUGGG
rnacentral:rRNA from 1 species